rnacentral:lncRNA from 1 species
AAAAAACAGGUGAAUACCAAUAGAUCGUAUAUUAAACCAGGUUGUAAGUCAUUAAGUCAAAUUCAAGAAUAGGUCUCAUAUACGUCCAGUAAUUAACUCAUUUUAAUCUUAUGUUGAUAGAGAAUUGAAUGAUUUUUUAGUGAUGAAUAAUCUAUGUUCAUAUUGUCAUUUUGAUUAAAGUCGGAUGCAGUUUCAAGUUUAACUCCUGCUAAAUUUAAAUAGGUUUUUAGAAAUCCGAAGGUGCUAGAAAUAUAAUGAUGCCGAAAGAAUCUAACAAAAAAAAAAAUAAAUAAAUGCUCCAGUACAUUUAUUUUAUACUAAUAGUCAGUCAACUAAAGAUCUAAUAUUUAAUUUUCAAAUUGAUUUAAUUGAUU